rnacentral:tRNA from 1 species
AGUUAAUAAGCUAAAUAAGCUUUUGUUUUGAAAACAAAUAAUAGAAAUAAAAAUUUUUCUAUUAACUU